ensembl:lncRNA
CAGCCAUGGAACGGGCAGCGAACUUAGGUUGUGGAGGAUACCGUUCUACCCUCCAGCCAACUAAUGUGACGAUUGCUAUGGUGGUACCUGCUGUGCAGCUGGCACAAAACUUCACCCUGAUCCUUGAAGUUAAGAACACAAGCACGGAACAGCAGACUGUUCAACUGACUACAACCUGCAGUGUCACCUACUACACCGGUGUCAGCAACGGCACCUUCAAGGAGGACAGACAGACUGUCUCUCUAGGGCCAUUAAGGACUGAACAGGUGACCAUCAAGAUCCUGGCAAUUGAGUAUAUGAAGUAUAUGGUGGACCAAGGCAGCCUCAGCUUCACCUGUGUGGGCAAAAUCCAAGAAAACGGUCAGUUUGUGACAGCAGCUAGAGUGGUCGGGCUGGAAGUCCCAUCUCUAAGUUUAAAGUGACUACUGUGAAUAGGGCAGUUGGAAUCCAGGGAAGACUGGAGGGCAGCCAGGAAAGACUGGCUGACGGCGGGAAAGACCGCACCGGGAGUGGGCGGCUAGUUACCCAACCCACUAGUCUCUCAAAGAGAGACACCCAACCCUAACUACGAAGUCUACUAAAAAGAAACAACCCGCAGGCCCUCCGAGAGGUGGGAUGGAAGAUGGGCCUAAAAGGACAGAUCACACGGUAACGACUGGAAUGGAAACGGAUAACGAGAAGAAGAUCCUGCGGAAAUGUGGAUGUGGAUGGGAGAAGUUGACCACAUUCAGGGGGCUGCGAAUCCACCAGGGGAAAGCAAGAUGUGGGGGGAAAGGCCAUAAGCAACCUUGCGCUGCAGUGUCAGGUCAGACAAGAGGGACCGAAAGCCGGGUUGAAAACCACAGUGCUGACGGACCCAAUGUUGCUGAAGGCAGGGAAGUAGAGGAGGAAGAAGGUCCUCUGGUGGAGGACGAGCCUCCAUGUGAGCACCAGGCAGAAAAGCCCACCAGUCCCCUCAGAACUGAGCCAAGCCGAAAAGCAGAGGGAAAGGAACCAGCCAGGAGGAGCAAGAUCAAAUGGCCGAAGGCAAACAUGGUAGAGGAAUGGCACAAAUUGGAUGUGGACCUGGUCAGGAUAUUGGAGGGGUCCUUACGAGGAGGGGCAGAGUCCAAGCUUAACCAGUUUGGGGACAUCCUAUACCAGGAGUGUAAGGGCAGGUUCGGCGAAGUCUCUAACAAGCAGAGAACUGCCCCGAGGGAGAAAGGAAGGAGAGAAAAGGAGAUUGGCCAGCUGGUACAAAGACGACGACAACUCCGUAAGAACUGGAGGAAAGCAACUCAGGCAGAGAUUGGCCCUUCUUCGCAGAGCUGAGCGCAUCCGUAAGCGCCGGAACCGGAAAGAAAAGGAAAGAGCCAACUUCUUCAAAGACCCCUUCAAGCACGCCAGACAGCUGCUGGAAGAGAAAAAGAGUGGGAAGCUGGAAAUCACUAACGAGCAGCUUGAGCAGCA